GGAAGGAUCAUUAUUGAAUUUAAACCCUGGUUGGGUUGUUGCUGGCCUCUAGGGGCAUGUGCACGCCUGCCACCGUUUUCAACCACCUGUGCACCUUUUGUAGACUUUGGAUAUAUACCGUUCGAGGGUCAAACCCCCUCCUCGGUUUUGAGGGCUUGCUGUGCUGCAAAGUUCGGCUUCCCUUGCAUUCCCAGUCUAUGCAUCUUCUUAUACCCCGUAAUGAAUGUAUUAGAAUGUUUUUUUAUUGGCCUUUUUAGUGCCUUUAAUCAAAUACAACUUUCAGCAACGGAUCUCUUGGCUCUCGCAUCGAUGAAGAACGCAGCGAAAUGCGAUAAGUAAUGUGAAUUGCAGAAUUCAGUGAAUCAUCGAAUCUUUGAACGCACCUUGCGCUCCUUGGUAUUACGAGGAGCAUGCCUGUUUGAGUGUCAUUAAAUUCUCAACCUUAACCAGCUUUUGCGAGUUGGUUUAGGCUUGGAUGUGGGGGUUUUUGCAGGCUUCUUAAGAAGUCAGCUCCCCUUAAAUGCAUUAGUGGAACCCUUUGUUGGCCUGUUCCUGGUGUGAUAAUUAUCUACAUCGUGCGCAGUCAACUUUAUUCUAAUGGGCUUUUCUGCUUCUAACUCGUAAUUCCUCUUUGUUGAGGAAGACGCUUUUGACCAUUUGACCUCAAAUCAGGUAGGACUACCCGCUGAACUUAAGCAUAUCA
rnacentral:rRNA from 1 species